rnacentral:sRNA from 1 species
UUGCGCCUGCGGCGGAUCAGGCACGGCUCUGCUAUGGCUUCGCAGGCAGCCGAACCGUGUACGGUCUUGUACUUCCAGGAAUUUUCCUGGAUUUAACGAUUUCU